GUGGUGACGGCAGCUGGGCUUGUGAGGGAGCCGUUGCUUUCCGUGUCGCUCUCUUCCAGGAUCCGUCCGGCGGUCGGAAUGGCCUGUGGAAAUCAACGAGAACUUGCCCGCCAAAAAAAUAUGAAGAAAACCCAGGAAAUUAGCAAGGGAAAAAGAAAAGAGGAUAGCUUGACUACCUCUCAGAGAAAGCAGAGGGACUCUGAGAUCAUGCAACAAAAGCAGAAGGCAGCUAAUGAGAAGAAAUCUAUGCAGACAAAAGAAAAAUGACUGGCUAUUUGGAAAACCUGGGUGCUACUGCCAACUGGGUGUAUCAUAAGCUCUAAGAUCAAGAUUUUGUAGAGUGAACAGUCAUUAAAUAUGUUAUAACUUAUCCUUAUAAAACUGUCUAUUUUAAACUUUA